GGCGUGACGGCAGCUUACCAUGCAGUCGAGCGCCCCUCAUUGGGAGCGGUUGACGGAUGUUUAAUUGAAGAGAAUCUACCUAACUCUACCGUAUAACUCUUGCUUGCUUGAAGGGAGCCGUAUACGCCCUUCGGGGGAUGGUUUAUCGGAGUUGGAUGAGCCCGCCUCUGAUUAACUUGUUGGUGGGGUAAAGGCCCACUUUGGCGGAAAUCUUUAUCUGGUUUGAAAGGGAUCGAUUACGUCUGACUGGGACUGAGACACGGCCCGGACUCCUACGGGAGGCAUCAGUGGGGAAUAUUGGACAGAGGGCGCAAGCCUGAUUCCACUGAUGCCGCGUGAGGUGAUGAAGGCCCUAGGGUUGUAAAGCUCCUUUCACCCCGGUGAAGAUAAUGACUGUUACCGGAGAAACAACCCCCGGCUAACUUGCUGCCAGCUUCCGCGGUAAUACCAACGGGGCCUAACGUUGUUCGUAAUUACAGGGCAUAAAGCGCACGUAUGCGGGCCAUUAAGUCAGGGGUUGAAAUCCSGGGGCUCAAACCCCKGAGCUGCCUUUGAUACUUGGUGGUCUCUAGUUCGACAGAUGUGAGUGGAGUUACGAGUGUAGACGUGAAAUUCGUACAUCCUCUGAGGAACACCAUCGCCAAAUGCAGCUCAGUGACUCGAUACUGACGCUGAGGUGCGAAAGCGUGGGGAGCAAACAGGAUUAGAUACCCCUGGUAGUCCACGCCGUAAACGAUGGAAGCUAGCCGUUGGCAGGUUUACCCUGUCGGUGGCCGCAGCUAACGCAUUAAGCUUCCCCGCCUGGGAGACGUACGGUCGCAAGAUUAAAACUCAAUAGGACACUUGACGGGGGGCCCGCACAAGCGGUUGGAGCAUCGCUGCGUUUAAGUUCGAAGCAACCGCAGCAGUAACCUCUACCAAGCCCAUUGACAUCUGGGCUUCGCGGAAAACCGUGAGACGGUUUCCAUUCAGUUAAGGACUGGACCCACAGACACGGUGACUGCCAUGGCUUGUCGUCUAGGCUCGUGGUCAGUACGAGAUGUUGGGUUAACGUCCCGCAACGCAUGCGACAACCCAUCGCCCUUAAGUAUGCCAGCGAUUCASUUGGGCCACUUCUUAAGGAGGACUUGCCGUGUAGAAUAAGCCGACGAGGAAGGAUCGGGGAUUGACGUCAAGUCCAUCAUGGCCCUUUACGGGCCUGGGCUGACACACGUGCUACAAUGGUGCAGUGACAAGGUGGGCAGCGAGACCGCGAGGUCGAGCUAAUCUCCAAAAGCCAUCUCAGUUCGGAUUGCACUCUGCAACUCGGGUGCAUGAAGUUGGAAUCGCUAGUAAUCGCGGAUCAGCAUGCCGCGGUGAAUACGUUCCCGGGCCUUGUACACACCGCCCGUCACACCAUGGGAGUUGGGUUUACCCGAAGGCAGUGCGCUAACCGCAAGGAGGCAGCUGACCACGGUAGCUCAGCGACUUUGU
rnacentral:rRNA from 1 species